rnacentral:rRNA from 1 species
UACGGAGGGUGCAAGCGUUAUUCGGAUUCACUGGGUUUAAAGGGUGCGUAGGUGGGUUGGUAAGUCAGUGGUGAAAUCUCCGAGCUUAACUUGGAAACUGCCAUUGAUACUAUCAGUCUUGAAUAUUGUGGAGGUCAGCGGAAUAUGUCAUGUAGCGGUGAAAUGCUUAGAUAUGACAUAGAACACCAAUUGCGAAGGCAGCUGGCUACACGAAUAUUGACACUGAGGCACGAAAGCGUGGGGAUCAAACAGG